CUCUGUUGCGCCGGAGGUCCCUGCGCGCGGCUCCAACCUGCUUGCGUUUGUUUUGCUUGCUUGUCACUUGGUUUACGGCUGGCUGGCUCGUGUUACUGCCGUUAUCCUCGGGGCUACGUGCUGGUGUUACUGACAGCACUGGUUUUGUACUUUGUGUGUUGGCAGCUGCGUUUCCUUGAUCACACGUGUGGAGAUAUUACAAUGACUUUCCUUGUUCUUGCUAGCAGGCCAGGUGCACAGUUUCAGUGCGGCUGCUGCUGCCUUGAUCAUUAAAACAGCACGUUCAGAACCCCCAAGUUGAAAGUAAACCCAUUUGUGCUCCAAAUGUCAAGCGUCUGCAGGCGGGGUUCAACGCUCGUUUACUCUCUCUUGUCACGCCAUGGGGUUAUUUGUUUGAUUUGAUCCCUCGAAGACCUCUUCUCCUGCCACAUGGCUCAACUACGGUGACGGAGAGGUAAACGACGUUCAGAAGAAGACAUUGGACUGAUGACAUUGGAAAACUCUUGGCGAUCUGAAAUCUCGCCAUCGUUUUUGGAUAUAGGUGUUGACUGUUGACGACCUGAUGCAUGCCCAUCCAAAUGGAAAUAGCUCCAUCGCUAACGCAUGCU